rnacentral:autocatalytically_spliced_intron from 1 species
UGCCGCCGUAUACGGACCCGUACGUACGGUGGCUGGAGGGGACGGCAUAGGAAAUAAUCCUAUGCCUCCUACUCACU